rnacentral:rRNA from 1 species
AUGAAUAGAUGGCUGAAGCAUCAACCGGAAGAGAUCAUUGACCAAGGAAGAAAAGCUUCAAUCAAGAAAGAACCAUCCGGUCAGCAAGAACAACAAAAAGAACGAAGAACAAGAGAAAACAUACAAGGAAAAUCUCUUCGAUUUAGUGAUGCAAAGAGCAAAAAGAGCACACACGGCGACGCGGAUGACUGGCUGGGGCUGGAAGAGGCACUGCGGCAACGCGACGGCAGCGCCCUCAGGCGCACGCGCAUGGCGCAACGCGCCCUCAUCCGGGGCUUCCUCCGUCACAAGGCGAAAGGGCGGCGUCCAUCCAACCACGGCGACGCUCCCCGGCGACUCUCCCUCACCUGA